GUGAACUAAUGUGAAUUGCAGGACACAUUGAACAUCGACACUUUGAACGCAUAUUGCGGCCAAGGGUUCCGUCCUUUGGCCACGCCCGUCUGAGGGUCGGCU
rnacentral:rRNA from 1 species